rnacentral:piRNA from 1 species
UAGGAUCAUGGACCAUCCUAGUAGGGA